ensembl:lncRNA
AGUAGGUCAUGCUUAGCCUUGUCUAAAAUAACUAGGCAGAUGUGUUUAUCUGGCAUCUCCAGCUUUAUUGUGAGCAAACAGAGAGGUUAAGAUACUUGCCCUGAGACACCCAGUGAAUGAGUUAUAGAAACAAGACUAGAAUGUACCUAUGAGUGUGUUGCUGAAUGCUGAAUCCCAAAAUAUCACCAUGACAACCUGUAGACAAGCAAAGUGGAGUUUAUUGCCUACCAUAAGAGAGACUCAGCUUGACAGAGUCUAGUUGGGUCUCACUGGGGCAAGAGCAAAGAAUGUUUACUGAGAAUUUCAAGUCUGGUUUAAGGUGGAUCUUUCAAUGCAGAAGCUUGGUGAGAAGCAGGUGAUGUUUCUCCAAAUGAUGCUUCAGGGAUCCAGAUAUUUUCCAUCUUUAGACUCCACUGAGGUCUAAGAUCACAGAGUCUUCUGCUUCCAGCUCCAGAAAAGGAAAGAAGAGUGAAGGUCAUUUUGUGAAUACCACGUGGCUUUAAAAACGGAGUGUACACAGAAGCAUCAAUUUUGAGAAGCUUGGUAUCACUUUAAAAGCUUGC